rnacentral:tRNA from 1 species
GCUAACGUAGCUUAACUAAAGCAUAACACUGAAGAUGUUAGGAUAGGCCCUGGAAAGCCUCGUAAGCA